AAGCUAAAUCCCCAAAAAAAAGAAGAAGAACACAACCAAUCAGAACCUCCUUUUCAUCCUUCUCAUACAUAUUAAUUGACUAAAUAAAUUUUAAUCAACUUCCUUCUUGCUAGUAAUUAUUGUUCUUUAUUCAUUAACAUGAAAUUUUAGAGUGAGAAUGCAAAAGAAAUAAGUUCAGCCAGAAACAGAUGAUCUACGGUGAACUAAAAGAU
rnacentral:misc_RNA from 1 species